CACUGGUUGCAAAAAGAAGUCCGAUUGUAUUGAAGUCUCUUGAUUUACUACCACAGUAAACGUUUUCGUUAUGUGUUUAUGGUCUGAAUCGCUAGUUUGAAGUUUCCUAAUAGACGUUAAAGCAGAGUGUUUUUAGCGCUGGCUACAGCGUGAUUGACCCACAGGGGAACCUGUCUGUUAUUCCGGAUAUAAAUCAGAGCAAUGUGUCGGACAUUUGACUUGUUAUUGUGUUUUCAGUUCAUCAAAGUUAGCUCCAACAUGUUGUUUGCCUAAAAAAUGUCUUGUUCUGUGUUCAGUUGUUCUGACAAUCAGAGGAGUCGGCGUUUCAAUUUUUUCCUGGAUCCAGAAUCCACCUCGGGCCAGAAACCAGCAAGAAACGAUCAUUGCAUCUUCGAGGUGGAUCCUCGGAGGUGCCUGCCGUCUCGUUGAGGCAUAGCGGUCCUCGCUGGAGGGGAAGCGCAGGAUGCUCGGCCUGACUGUUGCCAAGAUGAUCCAGAGGAUCUCCUGGGAGGAGUGAAGUCUCCACUGUUGGAGGAGGACACAUGGGGCAGAGGAGACGACCCUCCUCAUCCAGGAUCUCCACGUCACCCUGGACGUCUCUUUGCUGGAUUCUCUCUGCAUCCAGGACAUAAGGAGACACAGAGGAGCUGCCUCACCUGCAUUCAGGACCCAGCAGGUGCAGCUGUACACAGAGACUGAUAGACUGACAAAGGGCGGGGUCAGCCUUCUGGUUUCCACCUUAACCACUUCAUCCCAGCCAGAGCCAAGUACUUCCAAGCUCAUGGCAACACCUGCCAGACAGAGCAGGAGAAACAGCGAGUUGUCUUCCCUCCCAGAGACCAGGAGACGCAGCACAGGUGUCCAGAGAUGCAAGUGCAUGUGGUUGAUGCGACACAUUGAUCCAAGACUGAUCAACACAAUGUGCCAACAAAAGGCAGAGAAGAAGAAGAUGACUUUGGAACAUGGAUGUAAACAAGGACACGGGAAGAAGACACCUUUAAAGCCAACACUCCCCUCCUCUUCUUCCCAGCGGGUGCCAUAUCUGUCAUGUACGGCCCACCAGUCCGACCACCGGCGCACUCCAGGCUACAGAGCGAAUAUCCUGCUGACAAAAGAAGCUCCGAGCUUCCAAGCCUGGUCGUCUCCUGUCCUGGCCCCGGGACCCCAUAUGUCAAAGACGAGCACCGGAGCAGAAAAACAGCAGAAGACUCUGAUAUCACCUCCUCGCUGUGAAAACAACCAGAUGUGUCAAAUCCCUCCCGAGCUGAGGAGGGAUCUCUGUUUUGGGUCCAAUCAUUUAGGGGAGUUAGACUCCUGGAAGUCCCUGGAUUCCCCACAUCACUGUCACUGAGAAUCAUUAGGUCUUCACACAGUAACAAGGCAUGAGGUCUUCUGUUAUGUUAAGACGUAAGGAAUAAUUAACUCUGACACUUGUAAAGUCAGGCAGAGGUACCGAAUUAAACACUACGUCCACAAGAACAGCUACUAAAGUCACAACUCGACUAAAAAUAUUCUUGCCCUCAGAGCCAGACACAUAUGGCCAUUCUCUUAUACUGGUAACAUCUCAAACUAAAUAUCUGCUAAUACAUAUUCGCACAUGUUGAGUAACUUUAGAUCAGAGUGCCUGAUCCAAGUAUUUUCUCUCUCUCUGGAGGACACGGUGGCAAGCCUGCAGCAGACUACCAGGCAAAUGACCCGUUUGACGUGGGUAAACAUCACUACAUAUGGAUCUGCUCAACACAUGACACCAGCAUGGAGCUAGCUGGAGCCCGACGUUGUGCCUGAACCGUUCCUGCUCUUUUGCAAAGACGAAUAACAGACUAGGAUGGUUUUCUAAUGGUGGGAAAAGUGAAACAUUUAACAUUAAAUUUGAAAAUAAUGGCAGUUUUCCUCUGAACACACUUGGUGCUGGAAGCUGUAGCGGCCGCCUGCAACUAGAAAUUUUCCACAACGGAAAAAAUACAGGUAUUUAAUUAUGUAACGAGUUUAUCAUUAAUUUCUUUCACAUUUUAUUUCUUAAACCUGCAAAUGGUUCUUUGACCAACAAGCUGUUCUGUCUUUAUUCCUUUAUCAGAGAAAUUCUACUAUUUCUCCCUGUUUAAGGUGAUUUAACUUUAAGCAUCGCCCAGUGACGUCAAUGUUCUGUGGUCUGAAUCGACGGCAGCAGGAUGUGUUAAAGGUCCCAUAAAAUAUAAAGGUCUCUGUCCAUGUGUAGUGUGAUUAUAGAUCAGGUCUAGGUUCUAUAUUAAUACUGUGAAAGUAUCAAAGCCUCAGUCCACAGAGAAAUGCACACAGCCUGUAUUCAGAAACUGAGCCUUAAAACCAGCCGUCAGGACUUCUGGAACUUUGUGAUGUCACAACAAAGCAGUCACCAAGCCCCGCCCACCUGGACCCACCAUCCAAACCUUUACAGGAUUUGGUUUCUCUGAGUGUUUUUACCUGAAAUCUGCUUUAUUUUUAUUGGAUCACUCAGAAAACAGUCAGCCAAUCAGAAGAGAGGCUCAGAGCCUCCUCUCUUCUGAUUGGCUCACAGACCUGUUGUUACUAGAGCUCCAGAGAGAAGCCUGAGAGAGGAGAUGUGAAACUACACUGAGAUGGUUCUUGGUUCUUAAAACCACAAAUAAAUCUUCUUAUGGAUCAACACCUCAAAUAAAACACAGAGGAAGAAGAAAAUAUGGAGCUUUAAUCAAGUUGCUUUGCGUUGAUUGAGUCUAACUGCCGAAGUCUUUCUUUCAAAUGAAUUCAGCGUCAUUGUCAGAGGAAGAAGUUUGCUCAGUUGUGAUCUCCUCCCGUCUCUAACUGU